AUAUCAAUAAGCGGAGGAAAAGAAACCAACAGGGAUUGCCUCAGUAACGGCGAGUGAAGCGGCAACAGCUCAAAUUUGAAAUCUGGCCUCACGGUCCGAGUUGUAAUUUGUAGAGGAUGCUUUUGGCGAGGUGCUUUCCGAGUUCCCUGGAACGGGACGCCAUAGAGGGUGAGAGCCCCGUACGGUAAGACCACCGAGCCUCUGUAAAGCUCCUUCGACGAGUCGAGUAGUUUGGGAAUGCUGCUCUAAAUGGGAGGUGUACGUCUUCUAAAGCUAAAUACCGGCCAGAGACCGAUAGCGCACAAGUAGAGUGAUCGAAAGAUGAAAAGCACUUUGAAAAGAGGGUUAAAAAGUACGUGAAAUUGUUGAAAGGGAAGCAUUCAUGACCAGACUUGGGCUUGGUUGAACAUCCGGCGUUCUCGCCGGUGCACUCUGCCAGUCCAGGCCAGCAUCAGUUUGCCCCGGGGGACAAAGGCGGUGGGAAUGUGGCUCUCUUCGGGGAGUGUUAUAGCCCGCCGUGUAAUGCCCUGGGGCGGACUGAGGAACGCGCUUCGGCACGGAUGCUGGCGUAAUGGUCAUCAAUGACCCGUCUUGAAACACGGACCAAGGAGUCGUCUUCGUAUGCGAGUGUUCGGGUGUCAAACCCCUACGCGUAAUGAAAGUGAACGUAGGUGAGAGCUUCGGCGCAUCACCGACCGAUCCUGAUGUUCUCGGAUGGAUUUGAGUAAGAGCAUACGGGGCCGGACCCGAAAGAAGGUGAACUAUGCCUGUAUAGGGUGAAGCCAGAGGAAACUCUGGUGGAGGCUCGCAGCGGUU
rnacentral:rRNA from 1 species